AUUGAACGCUGGCGGCAUGCCUUACACAUGCAAGUCGAACGGCAGCACGGGAGCAAUCCUGGUGGCGAGUGGCGAACGGGUGAGUAAUGUAUCGGAACGUGCCCAGUCGUGGGGGAUAACGUAGCGAAAGCUACGCUAAUACCGCAUACGAUCUAUGGAUGAAAGCGGGGGAUCGCAAGACCUCGCGCGAUUGGAGCGGCGGAUAUCAGAUUAGGUAGGUGGUGGGGUGAAGACUCACCAAGCCGACGAUGUGUAGCUGGUCUGAGAGGACGACCAGCCACCAGGGGAAUGAGACACGGCCGCGACUCAUCCGGGAGGAAGAAGUGGGGAAUUUGGGACAAUGGGCGCAAGCCUGAUCCAGCAAGGCCGCGUGCAGGAUGAAGGCCUUCGGGUUGUAAACUGCUUGUGUACGGAACGAAACGGCGAGCUCUAAUACAGUUUGCUAAUGACGGUACCGUAAGAAUAAGCACCGGCUAACUACGUGCCAGCAGCCGCCGUAA
rnacentral:rRNA from 1 species